rnacentral:lncRNA from 1 species
UCUUCACUUAGUCGGAGCCGAUUUAGACAGUUUGGUCGGGCUCAUCUUCUCGCAAUGGGACCUGCACCAACUCUUCGGCCGGUUCACCUUGCUCCUUCAGCUCGUCCCUUGUGUCCAGCCUCUCGAUUGGUACUGUCUUUAACGAUUCUUUUCUUUGAGGGUGGCCAUGUAGCACUGUUGGGCUAUUGUCUGGUCACCUUGAAUUUCUCCCAUGCUGCAUCUGGGGGGAAUUGCAUGAGCAAGUGGUAGGUGAUAACCACAGCUUGGAAAGCAUUUAGGCUAGGUCGGCCUAAAAUUGCGUUGUAGGCUGGAGAAACUCAGACCACAAGGAAGUCUAGACUCAAUGUGUUACUUCAGGUCUCUUGACCUGCAGUGAUCGGCAGAUUGAUUUAUCCUAUGGGAACUGAGUCUCCCAAGAAGUCGAUCAGAGGAGUGUUUAUCUUUCGGAGCAGUUCGGUAGGCAGUCUCAUUCUUUGGAAAGUAUCAUAAAAUAAUACGUCUGCCGAGCUUUCAUUAUCAACAAGCAUUCUCUUUGCAUUGUAUUUUGCAAUAGUAAG